UUGGGGAUAUUGCACAAUGGAGGAAACUCUGAUGCAGCGACACCGCGUGAGGGAAGAAGGUUUUCGGAUUGUAAACCUCUGUCUUCGGGGACGAUAAUGACGGUACCCGAGGAGGAAGCCACGGCUAACUACGUGCCAGCAGCCGCGGUAAUACGUAGGUGGCAAGCGUUGUCCGGAAUUACUGGGUGUAAAGGGAGCGUAGGCGGUUUGAUAAGUUGAAUGUGAAAUCUAUCGGCUCAACUGAUAGGCUGCGUUCAAAACUAUUGAACUUGAGUGAAGUAGAGGCAGGCGGAAUUCCCGGUGUAGCGGUGGAAUGCGUAGAUAUCGGGAGGAACACCAGUGGCGAAGGCGGCCUGCUGGGCUUUUACUGACGCUGAGGCUCGAAAGCAUGGGGAGCAAACA
rnacentral:rRNA from 1 species